rnacentral:sRNA from 1 species
UUGCUGGACGCGCCCCAGGCGCACCCAGAAACCCUUUGUGAACUUAUACCUUACUGUUGCCUCGGCGCUGCUGGCCUCCGGGCCCUUUAUUAUACAGUAAAGAAAAGGCACGCCGGUGGCCAAAACAACUCUUGUUAUUAAUUGAAACUCUGAGCAAAACAAAAAUGAAUCAAAACUUUCAACAACGGAUCUCUUGGUUCUGGCAUCGAUGAAGAACGCAGCGAAAUGCGAUAAGUAAUGUGAAUUGCAGAAUUCAGUGAAUCAUCGAAUCUUUGAACGCACAUUGCGCCCUCUGGUAUUCCGGAGGGCAUGCCUGUUCGAGCGUCAUUUCAACCCUCAAGCAUUGCUUGGUGUUGGGGCACUGCUACACCCAGGAGCAGGCCCUGAAAUUCAUCGGCGAGCCCGCCGGGACCCCGAGCGCAGUAGUUAAACCCUCGCUUGGAAGGCCCUGGCGGUGCCCUGCCGUUAAACCCCCAACUUUUUGAAAAUUUGACCUCGGAUCAGGUAGGAAUACCCGCUGAACUUAAGCAAAUUUCCC